rnacentral:rRNA from 1 species
AGAGAGUGAUUUUGGCUCAGGAUGAACGCUGGCGGCGUGCUUAACACAUGCAAGUCGAGCGAAGCAGUUAAGUUGAUUUCUUCGGAUUGAUUCUUAACUGACUGAGCGGCGGACGGGUGAGUAACGCGUGGGUGACCUGCCCCGUACCGGGGGAUAACAGCUGGAAACGGCUGCUAAUACCGCAUAAGCGCACAGAGCUGCAUGGCUCGGUGUGAAAAACUCCGGUGGUAUGGGAUGGGCCCGCGUCUGAUUAGGCAGUUGGCGGGGUAACGGCCCACCAAACCGACGAUCAGUAGCCGGCCUGAGAGGGCGACCGGCCACAUUGGGACUGAGACACGGCCCAAACUCCUACGGGAGGCAGCAGUGGGGAAUAUUGCACAAUGGGGGAAACCCUGAUGCAGCGACGCCGCGUGAGCGAAGAAGUAUUUCGGUAUGUAAAGCUCUAUCAGCAGGGAAGAUAAUGACGGUACCUGACUAAGAAGCCCCGGCUAACUACGUGCCAGCAGCCGCGGUAAUACGUAGGGGGCAAGCGUUAUCCGAAUUUACUGGGUGUAAAGGGAGCGUAGACGGCAAGGCAAGUCUGAUGUGAAAACCCAGGGCUUAACCCUGGGACUGCAUUGGAAACUGUCUGGCUCGAGUGCCGGAGAGGUAAGCGGAAUUCCUAGUGUAGCGGUGAAAUGCGUAGAUAUUAGGAAGAACACCAGUGGCGAAGGCGGCUUACUGGACGGUAACUGACGUUGAGGCUCGAAAGCGUGGGGAGCAAACAAGAUUAGAUACCCUGGUAGUCCACGCCGUAAAC